rnacentral:rRNA from 1 species
CCUACGGGGGGGCAGCAGUGAGGAAUAUUGGUCAAUGGGCGCGAGCCUGAACCAGCCAAGUAGCGUGAAGGAUGACUGCCCUACGGGUUGUAAACUUCUUUUAUAAAGGAAUAAAGUGAGGCACGUGUGCCUUUUUGUAUGUACUUUAUGACUAAGGAUCGGCUAACUCCGUGCCAGCAGCCGCGGUAAUACGGAGGAUCCGAGCGUUAUCCGGAUUUAUUGGGUUUAAAGGGAGCGUAGAUGGGUUGUUAAGUCAGUUGUGAAAGUUUGCGGCUCAACCGUAAAAUUGCAAUUGAUACUGGCAGCCUUGAGUACAGUUGAGGUAGGCGGAAUGCGUGGUGUAGCGGUGAAAUGCUUAGAUAUCACGAAGAACUCCGAUUGCGAAGGCAGCCUGCUGGACUGUAACUGACGCUGAUGCUCGAAAGUGUGGGUAUCAAACAGGAUUAGAUACCCGAGUAGUC